UGGUGCCAGCAGCCGCGGUAAUUCCAGCUCCAAUAGCGUAUAUUAAAGUUGUUGCAGUUAAAAAGCUCGUAGUUGGAUUUCGGGGUUAGUAGGUUGGUCAUGCCUCUGGUAUGUACUGGUCUCACUGAUUCCUCCUUCCUUAUGAACCGUAAUGCCAUUAAUUUGGUGUUGCGGGGAAUUUGGACUGUUACUUUGAAAAAAUUAGAGUGUUUAAAGCAAGCUAACGCUUGAAUACAUUAGCAUGGAAUAAUGAAAUAGGACGUUCGAUCUUAUUUUGUUGGUUUCUAGGAUUGACGUAAUGAUUAAUAGGGAUAGUUGGGGGCAUUAGUAUUCAAUUGUCAGAGGUGAAAUUCUUGGAUUUAUUGAAGACUAACUACUGCGAAAGCAUUUGCCAAGGAUGUUUUCAUUAAUCAAGAACGAAAGUUAGGGGAUCGAAGACGAUCAGAUACCGUCGUAGUCUUAACCAUAAACUAUGCCGACUAGGAU
rnacentral:rRNA from 1 species